rnacentral:rRNA from 1 species
GACGAACCGUGCGAACGUUGUUCGGAAUCACUGGGCUUAAAGGGCGCGUAGACGGGCUGCCGCGUCCGGGGUGAAAUCCUCCCGCUCAACGGGAGAACGGCCUCGGAUACGGGCGGCCUCGAGGGGGGUAGGGGCAUCUGGAACUGUGAGUGGAGCGGUGAAAUGCGUUGAUAUUCACAGGAACUCCGGUGGCGAAGGCGAGGUGCUGGACCCCAUCUGACGCUGAGGCGCGAAAGCCAGGGGAGCGAACGGG